GAUGAACGCUGGCGGCGUGCCUAAUACAUGCAAGUCGAGCGAACAGAUAAGGAGCUUGCUCCUUUGACGUUAGCGGCGGACGGGUGAGUAACACGUGGGUAACCUACCUAUAAGACUGGGAUAACUUCGGGAAACCGGAGCUAAUACCGGAUAACAUUUGGAACCGCAUGGUUCUAAAGUGAAAGAUGGUUUUGCUAUCACUUAUAGAUGGACCCGCGCCGUAUUAGCUAGUUGGUAAGGUAACGGCUUACCAAGGCAACGAUACGUAGCCGACCUGAGAGGGUGAUCGGCCACACUGGAACUGAGACACGGUCCAGACUCCUACGGGAGGCAGCAGUAGGGAAUCUUCCGCAAUGGGCGAAAGCCUGACGGAGCAACGCCGCGUGAGUGAUGAAGGUCUUCGGCUCGUAAAACUCUGUUAUUAGGGAAGAACAAAUGUGUAAGUAACUGUGCACGUCUUGACGGUACCUAAUCAGAAAGCCACGGCUAACUACGUG
rnacentral:rRNA from 1 species